AUUUAAACUAAAUUAUGUUUGUCUUCCUGAAAAUGUUUCCGACGGCUGUAAUACAUUCACUGCACCCAGUGCACCCAUAGAAAAUGAAUAAAUAUGAAUUAUUCUUCACACUAGAGGGAACUAUUAAGGAAUCAUGCCUUAUGAUUACAAAGAGCACUACAACAGAGUGUCCAUGACAGCAACACAUGCUAUUCUAUGAGAACCAACCAAAGCAUGCAGAUAAACAAAUAAAUAUGACAGAAGAACCAGGCGGGGUUUGGAGUUAAGUUCAGUCACAUGAAGUUCAGAUGGAAGGCUUCAACGGUGUCCAGCACUGAUGGCUGAUGGCCUGUAGGAAGAGAGCAGAUGUUUGGAUGACACCAACCGUGACAGCAACUGUGCAGUAGAUAAAUAUAUUAUGAUGCAACUUCCAUACCUAGGCC